CAGCCAAUCAGAUUGCCACGACCAAUUUCCAAUUUUACAGAGAAGAACAGAAUCAGCUAGGCGCAAGGAUGACACGCAAAUUCGUGAAGCGUUCCAUAUUUUU